GUGUGUGUGUGUGUGUGUGUGUGUGUGUUUUUGAGUGUGCUUGUGUGUCUGUGUUAUUGUGGGUAAAUGUUCGUUUUUAUGUAUCUAAGCAUUAACGGGGGCCAGUAAAAAACCUGGAAAUGCAUGCUGUACUGCAUUAUAAUUACACAAAAGAUGUGAAAUAAUACCUGACGUAUUCUUUUACUUUAUCCUCCAUUAUCACAAGUUGGAACCAACAUUUUUACGUGUUCCCCUACUUCAAUAAUUAAGGUGGCACUGCCUCUUUUAAAUUGUGCUCACCCCACCGCCCCCUUUUUUUUUCCUGGAUGUUCAUUUGGAGCAUUUUUAGAGCUGGAAUUUUUUUUUUUUUUUCAUUUACUAGUUUAAGUAUUUUAAUACAUAUCCUUUGUGUAAGGGCACGCUGUACCCCUAUAAGUGACUGGAGGACACUGCUUUUGCUGUUACCGUCAGGUUUUGCGAUCAAGGCUAUGAAACGCGGCCCAAGAAAUCCCACAGUGCGUCGUCAGUAUCCUUCAACACAACGCAGUCAGACACCACCGUAGGGUGUGUCAGGUGUGUGUCUACUUGUGUGUCUGUGUACAGUGUUUGUCUGUUCAUGUGUGCUUGUGUGUCAGUGUUGGAUGAAUGCUAUCAAUGCGCAGCUGUGCCAAGGGGAUCAAGUGGGUCACUUGAGGAAGGAGUCACAGGGCCCUGAAUCAGUCAUCAGCGUCAUCACGCAACAAAUCACAGUGGCUCUUUUCUGAAGUCCAAGUUCUAUUUUGGGCCCACUAAGCCUCCUCUGGUUAUUGUGCUUCCAGUGGGGACAAGUUCAGGACUUGGCCUUUAAUCUUUGUUCCCGAGCGCGACAGCUGACUGCCACCGAUGCCGUUACAUUUCUGCCAGAAGAUGAGCCGCUUGGGGUCAGACCACUUUGAGGGGGCCUUUCAUUAUUAGAUCCAACGCAAUGUACGGCUUGCGAUCGCCUGGCAACCAAUCUUGUGUGUACUCCACUUCUCAUCCAAAGUCAUCUGGGCGAAGAUGGAUUGUUGGUGGCUACAUCGGCUGUAAAUUGAAGCGAUUACACGUUGCCCACUGUGUUCCCCAGUUAGUUACGAUGGAGCCGGAAUGUUCCACCGUGGGGGACUUGACAUUUUAGUAGUUUUUUGGGAUGUGACCACUUCCCCGCCGUUAUUGGACCCUGUUUUUAUUUGGGGGAAAAAUGAUGACUCCAUCCUGGGCCAAAUAUUUUUUUUGAAAGGUCACCGUGGCCUUUGACCAAUCCACUCAUCCCUCAGUCAGAGCGAAUCGCACUUCCUCCGGAACAUGUUUGUCACGGUUUUAACAACCACACAUGAUUUAAGAUCACAAAUAUGCAUGGGUUACUUGACUCGAGUCACGUGACUUAAGUCAGACUCAAGUCGUCAAUUUUUGGACUUCAAACUUGCUUGGCUAAAAAAAGUCUGUAUGGUGAAAAUAUAUGCUCAAGACUCGAGAAAGAAAUCGUGACCCAUUAGUGCUGUAAUGCCCGUCUCUCUGUGAUCACAUACAUUUUUGGGGAUACAAAAUAGCUUAGGUGUGUGAAUGCUUGUUUCUCAGCAUUCACGUCAACUUUUGAUAGCAUAUUUCUCAGCGUUGAAUGCUGAUGCUCACUCAAGGAAAAACAAAAGGUAUUAAAAGUCCUUUUGGUGACUACUCAUGCUCACUAAGUCUCGAAAGCAAGUGAUUGUCUCUCAGCAUUUGUACAAAGCAAACAGGAAAAUAGUUGGAAUGCUUAUCGGUCAGCCUAUACUGUAAAGUCAUAUGCUCACUCUGCAGAAAUCAUAUAGUGCAAAUGUAAAUGCCCGUCUCCAAGCAUUCAACAGAAAUCAUACUUGUGGCUACUAAAUGUCAACGUGUUAAUGUCUCUCAGCAUUCACACAUCUAUACUAGCAAGAAGGCAUAUGCCGAAUAUGA